CGAUUAUAACAUACGUUAUCCGUGUAAACAGGACGAGCUAUCACAGAUUUAGAGGAAUAGAGUGUUAUGACGGUAUCGAGACCUUACAGAAGGCCGCCUCAGCUAAGGAAGCGUAACCGCUGCCACGCCAUGAUUCGCAAUGAUUCAUCUUCAAAAUGCACUCAUCAAGUAUGUUCCUAGCCAGUCUGCUUACGAGUGGUAUUCACCAGGGUGCUUAUAUAGUGGGCGGUGCAACGCGCUAAUGUCGCGCUGAUCGAUAUGUGAUGCGGAAAAGGACUGGCACGAGCGUGCUUUUCGGCAAAAGUUGACAAGGAGCGUGAUUUUUCCUGCUGUUGUAUUUUCGUUGUUUUUUCAUUAACUACGAAAUUCUUGAGGUUGUUUUUGCACUGUAACGACGAAGUACUAACUAGUGUAUCGUAAGAAUGCUUGUUUGGCCUGUAUAGUUAAAUUUUGAAAGAAAUAUUGAGGAUAAUGAGUCGGGCUUUUGAUGACUUCAAUGAAGGGAAAUUUUCAAAACAGCAUUUGGGCAUGUUAUCAAGUCGUCCAAACUUCGAAAUUCAGUUGAUGGUAAAGAUUAUAAUUAUGUGCUUAUCUCCAAACGUUUUCAUAAGAUUCGGAGUUGAGCAAUUGAAU